rnacentral:rRNA from 1 species
GAUGAACGCUAGCGACAGGCUUAACACAUGCAAGUCGAGGGGCAGCACAGGGCAGCAAUGUUUGGGUGGCGACCGGCGCACGGGUGCGUAACGCGUAUGCAACCAACCCGGGGGCGGAGGACAGCCCGGCGAAAGUCGGAUUAAUACUCCAUGGUACAUUGAAUCUGCAUGGAUUUGAUGUUAAAGAUAUAUCACCCCCGGACGGGCAUGCGUUCCAUUAGACAGUUGGCGGGGUAACGGCCCACCAAGUCAUCGAUGGAUAGGGGUUCUGAGAGGAAUGUCCCCCACACCGGUACUGAGACACGGACCGGACUCCUACGGGAGGCAGCAGUGAGGAAUAUUGGUCAAUGGGCGGGAGCCUGAACCAGCCAAGUCGCGUGAAGGAAGACGGAUCUAUGGUUUGUAAACUUCUUUUGCAGGGGAAUAAAGGCCGGGACGUGUCCCGGGUUGCAGGUACCCUGCGAAUAAGCAUCGGCUAACUCCGUGCCAGCAGCCGCGGUAAUACGGAGGAUGCGAGCGUUAUCCGGAUUUAUUGGGUUUAAAGGGUGCGUAGGUGGACGAAAGGGUCAGUGGUGAAAUAUUCCCGCUCAACGGGAAGACUGCCAUUGAAACCGUUUGUCUUGAGUUCGUUUGAGGUAUGCGGAAUGCGUGGUGUAGCGGUGAAAUGCAUAGAUAUCACGCAGAACUCCGAUAGCGAAGGCAGCAUGCCAAACCGAAACUGACACUGAAGCACGAAAGCGUGGGUAUCAAACAGGAUUAGAUACCCUGGUAGUCCACGCUGUAAACGAUGAUUACUAGGAAUUUGCGAUACACAGUAAGUUCUACAGCGAAAGCGUUAAGUAAUCCACCUGGGGAGUACGCCGGCAACGGUGAAACUCAAAGGAAUUGACGGGGGCCCGCACAAGCGGAGGAACAUGUGGUUUAAUUCGAUGAUACGCGAGGAACCUUACCCGGGUUUGAACGCAUUUUGACAGGGGCGGAAACGUCCUCUCCGGCAACGGCAAUUUGCGAGGUGCUGCAUGGUUGUCGUCAGCUCGUGCCGUGAGGUGUCGGCUUAAGUGCCAUAACGAGCGCAACCCCUAUCGUCAGUUACCAGCACGUAAAGGUGGGGACUCCGGCGAGACUGCCCGCGUAAGCGGUGAGGAAGGCGGGGAUGACGUCAAAUCAGCACGGCCCUUACAUCCGGGGCGACACACGUGUUACAAUGGCAGGGACAAAGGGCAGCCACUCAGCGAUGAGGCGCAAAUCCCGUAAACCCUGUCUCAGUUCGGAUCGGAGUCUGCAACUCGACUCCGUGAAGCCGGAUUCGCUAGUAAUCGCGCAUCAGCCAUGGCGCGGUGAAUACGUUCCCGGGCCUU